rnacentral:rRNA from 1 species
CAAUGCCGCGUGAGUGAAGAAGGCCUUCGGGUUGUAAAGCUCUUUUGUCAGGGAAGAAACGGUGAGGGCUAAUAUCCCUUGCUAAUGACGGUACCUGAAGAAUAAGCACCGGCUAACUACGUGCCAGCAGCCGCGGUAAUACGUAGGGUGCAAGCGUUAAUCGGAAUUACUGGGCGUAAAGCGUGCGCAGGCGGUUUUGUAAGUCUGUCGUGAAAUCCCCGGGCUCAACCUGGGAAUUGCGAUGGAGACUGCAAGGCUAGAAUCUGGCAGAGGGGGGUAGAAUUCCACGUGUAGCAGUGAAAUGCGUAGAGAUGUGGAGGAACACCGAUGGCGAAGGCAGCCCCCUGGGUCAAGAUUGACGCUCAUGCACGAAAGCGUGGGGAGCAAACAGGAUUAGAUACCCUGGUAGUCCACGCCCUAAACGAUGUCUACUAGUUGUCGGGUUUUAAUUAACUUGGUAACGCAGCUAACGCGUGAAGUAGACCGCCUGGGGAGUACGGUCGCAAGAUUA